rnacentral:rRNA from 1 species
UAACUGUCUUCUCUGUGGGACAACUUCUGAACCUUUGACCUCAAAUCAGGUAGGACUACCCGCUGAACUUAAGCAUAUCAAUAAGCGGAGGAAAAGAAACUAACAAGGAUUCCCCUAGUAACUGCGAGUGAAGCGNNNAAAGCUCAAAUUUAAAAUCUGGCAGUCUCUGGCUGUCCGAGU